AAGGUGUAAAUACCUCAAAAAACGAAAUCGUCGCAAAGAAGCGUAGUUCUGAGUACUGUACGGUUUUGAAGGUACCGAAAGUUCCUUCAAAAGAAAACAAGUGGAAGCAAUAACCACGCACCGAAACGCAAGAGCGUGGGGGUGUAGCUCAGUUGGUAGAGCGCCUGCCUUGCAAGCAGGAGGCCAGCGGUUCGAACCCGCUCAUCUCCACCAUACGCAAGAGAGCGUAAUGGUAGGCAAGGGCUCAUAGCUCAGUUGGUUAGAGCGCACGCCUGAUAAGCGUGAGGUCGGUGGUUCGAGUCCACUUGAGCCCACCAUUAGUACCUUGACAACUGCAUAGAGAAAGAUAGUAAAUUCGCGGAGAAAAAGACAUUAGAAAGUAAGAAGUAGGUAAUGUAAUUAUCUGCUGCAAUUUCAAUGGAUUUAGAAUAAAAGAAAAGCAUUUAUAAGCAAAGGCGAACACACAGAGCACGUGUGUUCAAGACUCAUGCGUAAUAAGAGCUGAGAAGCAAU
rnacentral:misc_RNA from 1 species